UACAGCCAUAUCACGUUGAAACACAAGUUCUCAUCCGAUCAACAAAGUUAAGCAACCAGGCCUGAUCAGCACUUAGAUGGGUGACCACUUAGGAAUACCAGGUACUGUAAG